GUACUGUCACAUGUUCAAACAACACAUUCAAAUACAAAGAAGACAACUCAUAAGGGCUGAAAAAAAUGAGUAUAAUACGGGUUGAUGAGUCAGUGGCGCUCACCUCUGACCAGUGACAUCAAUACUGAGAGCCCAGAUUUCAGGCUUGAGGUGAGGAUGAAGAGGAUGACGUUGAUGUUUUAUCCAGACCCCUGUCGCGUUGUCUCUUUCCUUCAUGUUUGCACUUCUCUGGUGAAGCAGACCCCUUCUCAGAUGAUAAAACACAGCUGGAGCCUCCGUGUCUGUUUUCAUUGUGUCGGAGAAUUCCAGUGUUGAGGCUACGAGUGCGCUUUUCCUGGCUCUGCACGCCUUCCUCCUGAAGAAUCGGAGAGGGUACCAAGCGUCAUUCCGCCACCAGUGCACUCCACUCUAAGGAUGCAUGGUUUCAAAGGGACCACAGAACAAAUCAGAGGCCCAUCCCUGCGCACCAAUGGCCUGUCUCUCAUUUCAGAUGGAGAUUGAAGGGCACGUCUGCUCCCGGGGCGCCCACCGCCCUGAGGGCCUCUGUGUCUCCCCUGCGUGAGAGCUGGACCGCUACGCGCACCAAAAAACCCGUCGACCCCCGCAAUCGGCUGUCUGUGUGGACCCGCUGUCGAAUACUCCCCGCUGGACACACACAGACACAGACGCGCAGUCGGACGGGGCGAGCACUGCUUGGUAAACAAUCGCAGCCACACAUGCUCACGCUAGGAAGGAACAUGAAAACAGCACUAAUGGGAAAAAGAUGAGAGGGCUCACAGCGAGCACACCCAGAGAGAAGGAGGAGAGCGAGCCGGCAGUCGGACACCGCUCGCUGUCUCAGCCCUGCAUGCCGGCACACAAAAACAGCCCUCAGAUAGAAAGAUAGUUCCUGAGGUCACACUGUUUAAAAAAAAAAGAAGGAAAAGGAAAAAGAUUGGUGGGUUAAAAAGCACUCAGCUGAUUUACAGCAUCUGUGAGCUCCUGUGAUUAUUUUAUCCGAACGUUAUAUUAUUAUAAUUUUGCUGUACUACUUUAUUUCUUUCCAGCUAUUAGAGCUAAAUUACCUACAUUUUUGCUUUUUUGUCAAAUAUAUUUAGAAUGUUUGAUUUACCCAUAAAUUUUUCCAGUUACAAUCUGGCAAACAGUCAUAUUUAUUUGUAAAUGAAAAAAACUAAAUAAAAUGUUAAACAUGUUUAAACACUUGCCAUAAUGGUCGUGCGCUGUUCCUGUAAAGAAAAGAAAAAAAGAAGGACGGCCUUGUGCUGUGAGGGGAAAGAGUGUGUCAUCUUGUUUAUUUUCCUUUGGUUUGCUGUCUUUUUCCAGGCCAUGGGGCGCGAUGAUAACAAAAAAAUAUUGCGGGCGUCCGUGUCCUCACAGCGGACUGCCCUCCCCCACCACCACCACCACCACCAUUACCACCACCCGACGCGAUCCGACGGGGACCGCAGGGCCCUCGCAGCAACAUUUUUGCCCUGAGGGAGAGGAGCAGAGAAGUUACCGCCUGUGAGUUAAUGACGGCUCGCUGCUGAUUCCCCUCACAUGUUUUGCUCGUCUUUUGGGGGCUUUUUGCUUAUUCGUACAGGCACAAACCAGCUCCUCUCUCUGUCCCAGUGAGGUCUCAUCCUCCAGAGUUAAUACUGGCCGCCGUCACAAGCUACGGAACUGGUCUUGAUUAGUGCUACUGAACUAAGAUACUUAUGUACGCCACAUCCUUCUGGAAAAAAAAAUAAAAAUAAUAAUAAUAAUUACACUCCCAAAAAAUUCUCAUUAAUUUUUCUCCAGACUUCCAACUCCGUCUCCGCGCUCUCUGCCUUAUCCGUGGUGUGUAUCCACUAAGACUGAAUAAUAUUUGGACAGGUGUUCUUUCAUAUACGUUAACUCAAAGGAGUCUAGCGUGCAGUUUCAUAAAGCAGGGGAAAAAGAAGCAUAUCCUGGUGACUGGGUUCUGAAGUUGGUGCUGUAUGCUGUAGUCUGUACUGUAUGUGUAAUCCCUAACAAUAAAAAACUGUUUAGCACUAAUUUUCCUGUACUUUUAAAACCUUUUUUUCCUCCCCGUUUCAGACAAGAGGAGGCCACAUCUGGAAGACAGAUGUAGUCCCAGAGCUUGUUCUCUCCCUUUGACUCUUGCUCUCUCUCUCACUGCUUCUCACUCACUCUCUCUUUCUCCUGUCCUUCCCUCCCUCUCCUCUCUUUUUGGGAAACAUGAGAGCCGGGCUAAUUCUCUCUCUCUCUCUCCCUUUUUCUCCCUGCCUUGCUCUCUCCCUCCCACCCUGGCCGGACCACCCACAUUCGGAAACGCCUAGCUGCUCCUGAGGCAGAGCCGCCGGCAGCUUAGAGAGACCAAGAGGCAACAGCGAACAAGAGAGAUUAGCCACAGACCCCACAGUGGCCCCAACCAUACCUCCAUAUGUCCCUCCCACGAACAGGCCGACCAGGGACCCCAGCAGAGACUCCCUUCUGACCAGAGAGGACAGCCACCUAAUCCACCCUGUCAGCAUUUCCCACAA